GACGAACGCUGGCGGCGUGCUUAACACAUGCAAGUCGAACGGAAAGGGCCUGCUUUUGUGGGGUGCUCGAGUGGCGAACGGGUGAGUAACACGUGAGUAACCUGCCCUUGACUUUGGGAUAACUUCAGGAAACUGGGGCUAAUACCGGAUAGGAGCUCCUGCUGCAUGGUGGGGGUUGGAAAGUUUCGGCGGUUGGGGAUGGACUCGCGGCUUAUCAGCUUGUUGGUGGGGUAGCGGCUUACCAAGGCUUUGACGGGUAGCCGGCCUGAGAGGGUGACCGGCCACAUUGGGACUGAGAUACGGCCCAGACUCCUACGGGAGGCAGCAGUGGGGAAUAUUGCACAAUGGGCGGAAGCCUGAUGCAGCAACGCCGCGUGCGGGAUGACGGCCUUCGGGUUGUAAACCGCUUUCGCCUGUGACGAAGCGUGAGUGACGGUAAUGGGUAAAGAAGCACCGGCUAACUACGUG
rnacentral:rRNA from 1 species